rnacentral:rRNA from 1 species
GACGAACGCUGGCGGCGUGCUUAACACAUGCAAGUCGAACGGUGAAGCCCUUCGGGGUGGCUCAGUGGCGAACGGGUGAGUAACGCGUGAGCAACCUGCCCCUGGCUCUGGGACAACCACUGGAAACGGUGGCUAAUACCGGAUACGACCCGCCUCGGCAUCGAGUGUGGGUGGAAAGUUUUUCGGCUGGGGAUGGGCUCGCGGCCUAUCAGCUUGUUGGUGAGGUGAAGGCUCACCAAGGCGACGACGGGUAGCCGGCCUGAGAGGGCGACCGGCCACACUGGGACUGAGACACGGCCCAGACUCCUACGGGAGGCAGCAGUGGGGAAUAUUGCACAAUGGGCGAAAGCCUGAUGCAGCGACGCCGCGUGAGGGAUGACGGCCUUCGGGUUGUAAACCUCUUUCAGCUCCGAAGAAGCGAAAGUGACGGUAGGAGCAGAAGAAGCACCGGCUAACUACGUG